UUCUUUCUUUCUUUGCUUCCUUCUUUCUUAUGCCUUCCUUCUUUCUUCUGUCUUUCUUUCUUGUCACCAGGACAUACAAAGAGAGCAAGGACG
rnacentral:ribozyme from 11 species